GUGUCAUGCAAGAAGGAGGCGGCGGCGGCGGCCGGAGCUGGAGGGGGAGGAGGGGAGGAACCUGAUCCUCGGUAGCGAAGGGCUGGAGGCAAACACCGAGCUCCCCCUGAGCCGCCUGGGAGCAGGGAGGGUUCUGCUACCCUGAGGGGCCCUCCCCGCGGGGCAGAGGGGACCAGCCCAACAUGGCUUCCAACACAGAGACCAGAAGGACCCAAUAAGAGACCGAAGACACGACUGAUAAUACAGAAAGGAGGGUGAUGCUGUGUGCAAGGCAGAUACAAGAUGGUUUUUCCAUAAGAGGAAGUGAUCAUGGCAACCAUGACCUUCUCUGACCUUCUCUCUUCCAAGAGGCUGUUGGGAAGGUGGGAUGACCUAGGAUUGACCUUGGACUUGACAUCACAGAAGCCAUUUCAACCUUCACAGGGUUUCCUCAGCAGUGCCCCGGAGCAGGGACCGCGCCAGCCAGCAGAAACAGCUAGUUGUUGUCUGCAGUGAAGAAUAAUUGGAAGCAUGGUGCCUGUUUCUUUUCCUGUGGGAGGAAGUCACAGCAUCUACUUCUGAAUCUGUGCUUGCCUUGAGGAAAAACGGCAUGGCACAGGAAUGUGGACGCUUUCAACCAGAGGAUUCUGUACGACGGUGUCGGCACACAAGGAGUGUUCCACUGACUGACCUCUUUUUGUUUUCAAAUGAAGAGGAGCCAAGAAUAGGACAGCUUGGGAAGCUCAUCCUCGUCUACGGCCAAACGUUGGUUUCUCAUUUCUAGAAGAUGAAAGAUGUGAUGACUCAGGAAAAACUGGAAUCUUAGUAACUGUGGUGGGCAUUGAGCCUUGCCGUCCACAAGAGAAAGCUUGCUGCUCGAGAUGUGAGUCUUCAGAUGUUCCUGCCGCCAUAUCUGACAGCUGCUGCCAAGAUUCCCUGGUGGGAUGGACUCUUAUACCUCAACAACCAGAAGCCCAAGUAAACUCUUCUAUAAAUUGAAUGACUCAUGCUUAAAAAAAAAAACAAAAAACAAACUAUCUUUA
ensembl:processed_transcript 2210408F21Rik RIKEN cDNA 2210408F21 gene